AAUGUUUGACAGGACGACAGAUCAAAGGUCCACGUUUGUUUUCCUGUCUGAUCCACCUUCACACUUAAGAGUGGUUUCUGUCAGCGCCGGAGUGUAAAUCUGAUCUGGGUUUUCUGGUGCGUGGGAGCAUCCUGUCUUCAGCAUCAUGGUGGAACUGGCCUUCUACCCAGCAGUGGCACUGAUAUAUUUUUUCGGAGUGAUGAAAGCCACACAGGACGAUCGGGUGGAGCUGGAUGACCGGGCGUCGAUGAACGUGUUCUGUCUGUUUGUGUUGGCACAGCCGCUGUGUCUGGUGCUGGGAGGAUACACUGGCAUGGCUACAUACCUCCUCACAGCUCUGGUUUCCUACAACUUUCUGCCUUGGAGGGAGACAAAACAGCCUGUGAAGGAAAAAGAAUCAAAGAAGAAGAAGAAAAAGUGAGAACAAGGAACGUGCACUGUAUGGAGAUAGAGAGACAGUCAAUUCAAACAGGUUGUGAAAGGGAAAAUAAUUUAUAUGAGGAAUAAGCAUUCAGUGUGAAAAUCUUUUUUACAUGAAUAAAUUAAUGUGUUGCUA